rnacentral:lncRNA from 1 species
AGGACCCUGAAGGCAAAAUGAAAAAAUAGCUGGAGUUUAUCUAAGAUUGGUACUGUGGUCUCAUACAACUUCUCCAUAGUGACAGAAAAGAGAUUUAGUAAUCUCUAACACUUGGCCUAAUCCUAGAUGCCUCCCAGCUGGGGGUCGCAUUUGGUCAGGAAGGAACUUCCAUGGUGACAAGAAGACAAGGCCAGAGGUACCACUUUGGAGGUUUCAUAACCUCCAAAGGGGAUAGAUAACAUGACUCAUUUUCCCAGCUCUAUUGUGGUUAUUCAAAUAAGUGACCAUAGUCAAUGUCUGUGAGCAGCUGCUGCAAGGUCAGGAGAACUCACCAAGACCUGAUGCUGUUUCAGUAUCACAGCAUGUCAAAGGAAUGAUUUCUAGCUUCCUGUAGACACCAUUAGCUAAAUUGCAGUAUCUGCUUCUCUUAUCGUCUUUGCCAGGGUCAUUGUUUCUUGCACUGAACCUCGGAGGAAGGAUGAGGAGAGAGGGCCUGUCUCAGAUACUUACCUGUAUAUACCUGUGGGAGGAAGAAGAAAAAGGUGUGUCCACCUAGAAUAAUUUGUUUGCUGGAAGUUCUGUUGUUGGCAGAAAAUGGAAGCUACAAACUAGUGUGGUUAUCAGCAGGGAAUGGGAUCAAAGUUUCAGUCCAACAAGUCCAGGCAACUUUCAGCUUGAAGGCCAAGGUGUUACUACUUAGAAUUUAGGGCACAGAAGGCUGGUGUGUGUCGGCAGUGAUAUUUGGGAGAAUGAGUCUGUUUGGGAGACACUUUAGGUCAUACCAGCAGCAGCUGCUGACAUAUGAACCUCGCAGAUGAAGAUGCCAUAGCAUGGCUAUUUCUCGACUGCACUGCUGAAGUAGUUUAAGAACAUCAACCAGACUGCUGUGUUGAGAAGAAUACAGACACUGCAUUCAGAUUCAGUGAGAAAGAGUGCUUUGAUCAACUAAUAUUUUCUGCAGUGGUCCAUCCAUGUGUGUUGGGUUUUACUGUUCCUGGCUUAAGCAUUCUCUACAACCAUGAGCUUGCAACUAAAAUGCUGAGAAAUGUAUGGCUACCAUAAAGCCAGUUUAAAUCUAUAUGCCAAAAGGCCUUAUUUAAAUUUGUUGUGUCCAGUGUUUUAUUCUAACUAAAGAUAGUA